rnacentral:misc_RNA from 1 species
UAUAUAUAUAUAUAUAUAUAUAGUGGUUGAUUGCAACAAUUAUAAGACUGAAAAUUUCUAUAUAAUUGUUCCUUCAAUUAAUUGGUUCUAUAAGCGUAAUAUACCAAGUAGAAGUAGCCAUCCGAAGCUUUCAGUGCCAUGUCCUUGUUAGGGAUAUGUUGCAAUUUGUUAUAUAACGCUUAUUAAAACUUCGGCUUACCAUUCGUAUUCUUCUUCAUCUGUCGACUGACCUGCAAAUAUUCAUCUCACAAGAUCUACAACAAUUCACUGUAACUUAUCAAAGUACCUAUAUUGUCCCACAAUCAAGAUAACAUGGAAUUUAUUAAUCUGCAGUAGAUAAAAAGCUAAUAUGGAACUCGUGAUUACACUAAACUCGUGUGGAGAAAAAAUCUUUAACGUGAUGAUGCUCAUCAUUUUUCAUUUUCACUAGGACUAGA